rnacentral:pre_miRNA from 1 species
UAUAAGGGAUUUUGAGUUUUUGUUUGCAACGUUUGACCACUCGUCUUAUUUAAAAUUUUUUGAAAUUAUUAUUUAUUUUAUUUGUGACUUACUUUAUUAUCUACAGUACUUUAAACACAACUUUUUGUUUUUUAUAUUUGUAAAAAAAUUUUAAAUAAGACGAGUGGUCAAGCGUUAUAAUCAAAAACUCAAAAUCUCUUAUA